GAUAAACGCUGGCGGCGUGCAUAACACAUUCAAGUCGAACGGUGACGAGGACUUCGGUCCUCUGAUCAGUGGCGGACGGGUGAGUAACGCGUGAGUAACCUGCCUCAGAGUGGGGGACAACAGUUGGAAACGACUGCUAAUACCGCAUAACGCAGCGAGAUCGCAUGAUCUUGCUGUCAAAGCUUUAUGUGCUGAAAGAUGGCCUCGCGUCUGAUUAGCUAGUUGGUGGGGUAACGGCCCACCAAGGCGACGAUCAGUAGCCGGUCUGAGAGGAUGAACGGCCACAUUGGGACUGAGAUACGGCCCAGACUCCUACGGGAGGCAGCAGUGGGGAAUAUUGGGCAAUGGGGGAAACCCUGACCCAGCAACGCCGCGUGAAGGAAGAAGGCUUUCGGGUUGUAAACUUCUUUAGCAGGGACGAAGGACGUGACGGUACCUGCAGAAAAAGCAAACGGCUAACUACGUGCCAGCAG
rnacentral:rRNA from 1 species